ensembl:lncRNA
GUAUUGCCGGAUAACACGAACAGAUUUUCAAACAGAUCCAAAUGCAUGUGGACCUCAGCGCACUCUUACAGUCUGAAGAACAACAAAACGCUGAAGAAAUGGGUGAUUCAGAGCUAAACACUUUAAACAUCAGCAAUGCCAUUGAUGCUGUAUUACCUGAACUCUCAAUCGCAACUAAAAAAUCUCUUGAGGACACCUUAAAGUCACUUGGAGUGGAGUCCCCAGAAGAUUCAAGCCAGGAAAUUUAUUUCUGUUCUAAAGGAGACCACACAAAUUUCUGAAAGAGGAAGUGAAGGUUCUCAUGAAAUCUACAUACUAGAGUCAACGAAAAGAUAUCAACAAAGGAACAGACAUGAAAACCCUUACUGAAGAGUGGCCAUUUUUGUUUCAGGAAAGUGGAAUGGAAGUGCACUUUAAAGACCUCACAGGGAUACCACUUAAAGAGAUCUUCCUAAACAGCAUUGACACAAAGGGAAACAGGCUGUUGAACUUCAUGAGGAAUGUUUGUGCAACCAGGAACAAGCGUGUUACGAGCUGUCACAAAACUUCAAGUUUUGAGAGGACAGACAAAUGGUUGAUUCUUCUACUUCUCAAAAUUCUUGACUUGAUUCUUCUACUUCUCUCCUAUUUUGAUGAGAAAGAGGCGCUCCUUCUUCAUUAUGUAGAAGAGACAAGCCUUGAAAAGGAUGAAGAGUUGGGAAACUUGCCUGUGACCCCUUGCAUCAUUGUCUGUGGUAAGUUUAAGUUUUAUUCAUAUACAGUAACACCCUCAAAGCUUUAAUGAUUAAAUGUUUAUCUAUAAAGUUGAGUUUAUAUAUUUUAACAGUGGUGGUCUGUGCCUCCUCUUCUGGAAAGACACCUGCUUAACCCUCAACUCUGAUUUCACAAUAAUAUUAAGACCCUCCUGCUAUGCUGCUGAUCGAUUCAUGCUCAGUGUGGACCGCAAGAUUGUGAAUGAUGACAUCACUACAUUCAUCGCUGCUGUUAGCCUAAUGUUCGGCAGUUAUUACUGUUUCAACGUUCACCACCCUACUGAAUUGGCAUCAGUGCUUGAAUUUUUGCAAAGGUGUUUUUUCAUCAUCAAUCCUGAAAAGGGCACAAAGGUGGUGGAAAAGAAGAACAAAAAACAACUCCCAGUGAACCCAAGAGUCUUCACCUUAAUCUCAAUUACAAGUGGCGAGAGACAUUGUAAAUGGCCUGCAAAGGUGCCCAGCAACUUGUGUUGUUCCUUGUUCUGCUUUAGUAGUUAUUAAUGUAAAUGUUCGACUUAAACUUUACCUAUCUAACUAAAGUGUCAGUUAGAUAGCGGAAUCUAAAUUUUAAAUGCAUAGUCUUGACCGAUUUCUUGUCUGAUUUUAAGACUGAUCAGCAAAUCCCGCCUCCAUGUGAACCCGAGAGUUAUUACACUUAUACAAGACUUGUCUGACCAUGAAUGGUGCUCACAGUAAGACUGUUCGAUGAUCCACCCUCUCUCACUCAUCCGCCCACAAACAUACAUACAUACAGACACAAACAUGCACAAAAACAUGCAUUGCACACACACACACAUACAUAUACACACACACAUGUUCAAGCAUGCAUACACAUACACACUCUGUAGAAUAUGUACUCUCUCUCUCUCACAUAUACACACACACAGACACACACACACACAUAUUAAUGAUCUAUAGUAUGGUUCAUCUUUGAUGAUCCUCUCAAACACAUACUCCCCUACAUGCAGUCAUAUGCACACACACACACACACACAGGGGGAGAGAGAGAGAGACUCACUCUUACACAGGCAUAUGUACUCUCUCACACACACACACACGAUUCUGAUGCUCUUGUGAACCAAUGUUCUUAAGAUAAUGUUAAGUUUGAUGGUUCUGAGGUAGUCUUGUGAUUACCGAAAGUUGGGCUUUGAUUCUUCAUUGUUUAUGACAAUGUCACACACACACAGAGAGAGAGAGAGACACUCACUCUAACACAGACAUAUACUCUCACACAUGAAACAUGUUUUAUUCUGAUGCUGUGUGAACAUGUUUUAUUCUGAUGCUGUGAACCAAUGUUCUUGAGAUAAUACGUUUGACGGUUCUGUGGCAGCCUUGUGGUUAACUAAAGUUGGGCUUUGUUUUUACAAUAAAGUCUGUGUGGUUAACAGAAUAUCUGUGACAUGCCUUUAUUUCUGUUCCAAUAUAGUAGUCCUAUAAUAAUGGUGAUUUUGUAGUAAAAUACUGUGUAUGUUUUAGUGAAAUCAAAUGGGUUUUGAUGUCC